AUUGAACGCUGGCGGCAGGCCUCACACAUGCAAGUCGAACGAGUGGCGGAAGGGUGAGUAAUGUCUGGGAAACUGCCUGAUGGAGGGGGAUAACUACUGGAAACGGUAGCUAAUACAGCAUAACAUCAGAUGUGCCCAGAUGGGAUUCGCUUGUUGGUGGGGUAACGGCUCACCAAGGCGACGAUCCCUAGCUGGUCUGUGAGGAUGACCAGCCACACGGGAACUGAGACACGGUCCAGAUUCCGAAGGGAGGCAGCAGGGGGGAAGAUUGGACAAGGGGCGCAAGCCUGAUGCAGCCAUGCCGCGGGGAUGAAGAAGGCCUUCGGGUUGUAAAGUACUUUCAGCGGGGAGGCGUUACCCGCAGAAGAAGCACCGGCUAACUCCGUGCCAGCAGCCGCGGUAAUUC
rnacentral:rRNA from 1 species